AGCACCGUUUCUUUUAGGCUAUAUAAGCCAAAUUUUAAGCUUGAAAAUCAUUUUUACACCGGUUAGAAAAAAAAACUUAAAGAAAUCCUCUGCAGGAGGAUUCGGGGUCGGCUUCAGAACCUCGUCGGGCCCCUAUCCUCAGGCGCCUACGCCCACACGCCACCGCGAGGACCACCACGCACGGUGAUCAAAGGGUUAAAAACCCUCGUCCUUUCAAGCGAAUUAUAGGUAACUCUCUUCCUCUUAGUAUUUCCGUAGUUUAUUUAAAAAAAAUGCUUCGUAUACCAGUCAGAAAAUAAUUAACAAAAUAUGAAAUAUAAAUCACCUUAAGAAACUGUUUGCAAUCCUGAAUGUAUUCGUAUGUCUACUGUUUUUAUUUUCUAAAAAAAAUCCGGUUUUUUACAUCGUAUUUGAUUCAGGCUUUUAUAGCCAUUGUUUACAAUAUAUUUUGGGAAGAAAUCUUUUAUUUCUUCCCAUUUUUGUUUGUUUGCUGCUGUUUCUUUCUCUUUUGCAAAUAUUCGCGAGGAAAAUCCGACGAUGAUCGUGCUGGACGCAGAUCUGCCGGUGGCGUUGAUCACGGCGUGACCUGGAGCCUGGAAUCGUGGCUUUGAUGGAGGGUACUGGAAAGACAUAAAACCGAAGGAGUGUGAUGUUUGGUUUGGCUUCUGGAAUUUUCUGUUUACGGCGCUUAGGGUUCCAAAAAAAAACUAGGUCUCCCCUCAUCUGUUAACACAUUUGGGCCUCUUGGGCCCCGAAUGUAAUGGGUCUGCUAGGCUUAAGCUAAAACUGGGUGUAGGCAAUUAGGUCAAAUGUAAACGGGUAGUGGGUUUAGGUAUUUGAGCUCUGUAUAUGGACUGUUUAAAUAAAUAAACAUUUUUUUUUUGGUUUUAAAGCCCGGGCAGAUUUGGACUAUUACACUCCUUUAUUCUGUUCUCGCUUUCGGUAAAUUUUUUUCCCAAUAUAUUACCAUCCUCCACAUUCCAUUUCUUCAGGAUCCCCUUUAACUUUCUCAAUUUCAC
rnacentral:lncRNA from 1 species